rnacentral:rRNA from 1 species
GAUGAACGCUGGCGGCGUGCCUAAUACAUGCAAGUCGAGCGAACUUUUGGUAGCUUUCUCCCGUAAGUUAGCGGCGGACGGGUGAGUAACACGUGGGUAACCUGCCUUUAAGUUUGGGAUAACUUCGGGAAACCGGAGCUAAUACCGGAUAACAUUGAAUACCACAUGGCCUGCAUUUAAAAGUUGGCUCUUAGGUACCACUUACAGCUGGACCCGCGGUGCAUUGUCUAGUUGGUGAGGAAACAGCUCACCAAGGCGACGAUGCGUGACCGAACGGAGAGGGCGGUCGGCCGGACUGGGACGGGGACAGGGCCCAGACGGCUAGGGGAGGGAGCCGUAGGGAAACGUGCGGAAGGGGCGGAAGACUGUCGGCGCAACGCCGCGGGAGCGAAGAAGGCCGUCGGGUGGGAGAGGUCUGUUGUUAGGGAAGAAAAAGCAUCGGUCGAAUAGGGCGGUACCUUGACGGUACCUAAUAAGAAAGCAACGGCUAACUACGUG